rnacentral:rRNA from 1 species
CAGUCGCCACGGUAAUACGUAGGUGGCAAGCGUUGUCUGGAAUUAUUGGGCGUAAAGGGCUCGCAGGCGGUUUCUUAAGUCUGAUGUGAAAGCCCCCGGCUCAACCGGGGAGGGUCAUUGGAAACUGGGAAACUUGAGUGCAGAAGAGGAGAGUGGAAUUCCACGUGUAGCGGUGAAAUGCGUAGAGAUGUGGAGGAACACCGGUGGCGAAGGCGGGUCUCUGGGCCGAUAUUGACGCUGAGGAGCGAAAGCGUGGGGAGCGAACAGGAUUAGAUACCCCGGUAGUCCCUGUCUCUUAUAC